CAGGGCACCUGCACACAAGGAGUGUCUGGGGAGAGUGCCUCCAUGUGGCCGCCAUGGGCAAGAUUUCUCAGGAACUAUGAAGAAGGACAAGCUACAUCGAAGGGCCCAGGAAAAGAAA